AUUGAACACUGGCGGCAGGCCUAACACAUGCAAGUCGAGCGAGCGGCGGACGGGUGAGCAAGGUAUGGGGCCUGCCCGAUAGAGGGGGCGAAAUACUGGAAACGGUAGCUAAUACCGCAUACUAUCGGAUAACCAAUAUUGGAUUAGCUAGUAGGUGAGGUAAUGGCUCACCUGGGCGACGAUCCCUCGCUGGUCGGAGAGGAUGAUCAGCCCUACUGGGACUGGGACACGGCCCCGACUCCUACGGGGGCAGCAGUGGGGAAUAGUGCACAAUGGGCGCAAGCCUGAUGCAGCCAUGCCGGGUGUAUGAAGAAGGCCCUAGGGUUGUAAAGUACUUUCAGUCGGGAGGCGUUACCGACAGAAGAAGCUCCGGCUAACUCCGUGCCAGCAGCCGCGGUAAUAC
rnacentral:rRNA from 1 species